UACGGGGGGGAGCAAGCGUUGUUCGGAUUUACUGGGCGUAAAGGGCGCGUAGGCGGUCGUGACAAGUCACUUGUGAAAUCUCCGGGCUUAACUCGGAACGGUCAAGUGAUACUGUCGGACUAGAGUACAGAAGGGGCAACUGGAAUUCUCGGUGUAGCGGUGAAAUGCGUAGAUAUCGAGAGGAACACCUGCGGCGAAGGCGGGUUGCUGGGCUGAUACUGA
rnacentral:rRNA from 1 species